UACGUAGGGUGCAAGCGUUGUCCGGAAUUAUUGGGCGUAAAGAGCUCGUAGGCGGCUUGUCGCGUCGGCUGUGAAAACGCGAGGCUCAACCUCGCGCCUGCAGUGGGUACGGGCAGACUAGAGUGCGGUAGGGGAGAUUGGAAUUCCUGGUGUAGCGGUGGAAUGCGCAGAUAUCAGGAGGAACACCGAUGGCGAAGGCAGAUCUCUGGGCCGUAACUGACGCUGAGGAGCGAAAGCGUGGGGAGCGAACAGG
rnacentral:rRNA from 1 species